rnacentral:lncRNA from 1 species
CUUAGCCCCGUUUGUUUCUCAUAUUGUUUCUCAUUUUUUGAAGAAUGAUAAUGAAAAAUAUGGGCGUUACGGCUCCACACAAGAUAUAAAAAUUUAAAUUUGGUGGCUUGAUGUGAUGGAUAACGGUUAUAUUUUUCAUUUUAACGAGGAACAAUGAGAACCAAACAAUGGGCUUGGUAUGUUCGGUGUAUUUUAUAGGGUUCUCUCUUUGGUUUUCUAUACUUCUUCGUGAUUCAAUCUUUGUACUUCUUUGUGAAGGGUUCUUAGUUGUAUUAGUGUAUAUAUUAAGAUAUUGUAAGAAGUAUAGUCUGUUGUAAUAUAGAGAGGUAAGAUUCGGAUUUGUUCAUACAUUUGUACAUAUUCUUGGUUGAUUCGAGUGAAUCUAGAACAUAAUCUAUUUUGUAGAUGCUCAACGUGGUGAUUAAGUUUAUUGGCUAAACAUUCGGCCCUGGUGGUUAAAAUCCUUUUGUUCUUGCUAAUUUUUUUUUUUUUUUU